GGGUUGUUGGUUAAGGUCGAGCAUUUAGCGCUCUUUUGGAAAUUAUGUAGUUAGAACUUUGAAUAUAAACAUUUUAAGAUUUAAACAACUGCAAAACAGGUUUAGUUAAAUAACGAGAUGGUAGAGAUAAUGUGCCAGCACUAGCGGUCAUACAUUAGUCAUCAAGCUAAAUAUUUAUUCUAGACAGGUGUGAUUAGUGGUUACGUGACUUUAGUUGCUUUUAAUCGUGAAAUCGGAAUUUAAUUGAGUCGUUGGCUAACUCACUUAUAAGCUUAAAAACACGGCUAAAAGACUAGGAUUAGAUACCCUAUUAUGAGUGUUUAUGAAAUGUGUCUAAGUCAGUAGCCUUUCCUUAGGCAAAAUCUAUUUGCUAUGGCGGCUAUUAACCCUAUCGGAGUCGUAUGGACGUAAACGAAGCUGCACGAGCAUUUUACCUUAACUUUACCGGUAGACAAGGUUGGUCUGGUAAGUCUUACACACCGCUGUCAACUAAGGAACUUUUACAAGACUUUAGUCUAAGGUAAGUGAUGGACUGGCCUGUGUGGACAAGUCAAGGUGUAGAAUGUCAAGGUGCUUAUGUACGAUUUAAUUGACUGAGUAAGUUGACAUUAAUUGUACUAUGCAAUCGAAGCUAAUAAAAAUUCGACAGUAAGGUGACUUAGAGCAUAUUCAUCUGAACUAGGUAACAAAUAGUGUACAAAUCGCCCGUCAUUCCUUUUACGGACAAGUCGUAACAAAGUUGGUUUACCGGAAGGUGAAUCA
rnacentral:ncRNA from 1 species